rnacentral:rRNA from 1 species
UACGUAGGGGGCUAGCGUUGUCCGGAAUCAUUGGGCGUAAAGAGCGUGUAGGCGGCCAGGUAGGUCGGUUGUGAAAACUGGAGGCUCAACCUUCAGAGGUCGACCGAAACCAUCUGGCUAGAGUCCGGGAGAGGAGAGUGGAAUUCCUGGUGUAGCGGUGAAAUGCGCAGAUAUCAGGAGGAACACCGGUGGCGAAGGCGGUUCUCUGGGCAUGAUCUGACGCUGAGGAGCGAAAGUGUGGGGAGCGAACAGG